rnacentral:rRNA from 1 species
UACGGAGGAUGCAAGCGUUAUCCGGAUUUAUUGGGCGUAAAGCGUCCGCAGGUGGUUUUCCAAGUCUGCUGUUAAAGCGCGAGGCUUAACCUCGUACAGGCAGUGGAAACUGGAUGACUAGAGUAUGGUAGGGGUAGCGGGAAUUCCCAGUGUAGCGGUGAAAUGCGUAGAUAUCGAGAGGAACACCUGCGGCGAAGGCGGGUAGCUGGGCCGACACUGACGCUGAGGCGCGAAAGCCAGGGGAGCGAACAGG